rnacentral:rRNA from 1 species
CACGUAGGCACCAAGCGUUGUCCGGAUUUAUUGGGCGUAAAGAGCUCGUAGGCGGUUCGGUAAGUCGGGUGUGAAAACUCUGGGCUCAACCCAGAGCCGCCACCCGAUACUGCUGUGACUCGAGUGCGGUAGGGGAGCGGGGAAUUCCUGGUGUAGCGGUGAAAUGCGCAGAUAUCAGGAGGAACACCAGUGGCGAAGGCGCCGCUCUGGGCCGUGACUGACGCUGAGACGCGAAAGCGUGGGGAGCGAACAGG